CACAGAAAAGGCAAAAAUACCCUUUCUGUGUGUGCUGAAAAGGCAAGGGGGAACAGUACAGCGUUUUUACAGAGGCUAGCAGCUUGCCCACGCGUGACGUGGCGAAAGCCGUGGUAGCAGGGUCGUGCACGGUGAUUAGGCAUUUUUGUUUUCUUGAAUCGGUCUGUAAGAAGUGAAUUGAGUCCAAGCGGCGAUUUUGUAUGGCAGCAGAGGGUGACCGGUUUCGGAAGUUCAUUUUACUGGAGUUCCAAAUGCUUCCUAGCGUGUGUGAAGCACAAAAUUUGUCUAUUCCCGGAUACUAUAGGGGACCAGGACCGUGGCCGAAAACUCGAUCUCAAAGACAGUGCUUCGCCACGCCGACAAGAAAUGCCCCCGCGAAGGCUUGUAUAAGUACAAGAACAGCAAUGGACGGCUCAUCUCAUCGAGUUCACAGUGACAGACGAGUCAAACACAGGUGCGCAGCUCCCAACCCUCCUCCGGAGACGCCCACGUGUAAGUGACGGGGUGGAAGAAGCAUCAGUUCCAAAGACACAACUUGUGAAAUGAUAGUAAUCGAAUGGGCAGGAUGGUAGCGUUGCUUCUGGACAUAUUUUCGUAUCCCCGUUCCGUCUUUCAAAAGUGCGGUCGCGUUCGAUCCACCAGCUGGCUCGUCGCUCUGGACACAUCGCCUCGCCAAAACCAGGAAUCACACUGCUCUACACACCAGAGAGACUAGGAAGACAGAAGGGGGGGAGUGCAACAAGCUGUGAUGUUCCCUGCUAUAGAAUAUAGCGAAACAACUGAAAUGGCAACAUCGGCACGUUCCCCCAGAGACGCUGGCCGGGCGCGAUGCGUCGCCGAACUUCUGUUUUUCGCGCCCCAGAAUGCAUUUUCGUAAGAGCGGAGCCCACAUGUUGUAGUCGUGGCAGUGGAACUCGGUGGAUAGUCACAGAAACAGUAGUCGGAGCGGCAGCGGUGUUAGCAUUGAGUUAGCAGAAGUGAGUCACCAGGAAGUGGUUUCUUGUACACGGUGCUCAGGCAUUAGCAGGAACAGGAGUGGAAAACGCUCAGUGACUGCCGACAUCGAGAUGCCGUGAGAGCGUGUGGCGGUUGCUGCAUGAGUACCAACCUGUCUUUUGGUGCUGGAGAAAAAAUGGAGAGACGGGAGAAGACAUCAGGGAGGAGAGACGCGUAUCAAGAAGGGAAUGAUGCAAAGGGAGCGCUUAUAUACCAUUUGUAGGUGUCGCACUGCGUAUAAGGGGCUGACCACCCAUCAGUGUGACAGUGGCUGCUCCAAGUGGGAUCUCCUUUCCUCUGUUCUGCCGUCCGGCUUCCACUGCUCUGUAGCCGUGUUCUUUACCGUCGAGAGAAAAAAUGACGAGAAAAUAGGGACUAGAAUACUUGUUUUCCAUGGAACAGGGUCUUGCACAGGAUGCACUCCUAUCAUCGGCUGCAGACGGCCGGGCUUCCUCUUCCGCAUUUACCAACGUCGCUGCAGUAGAAUGCUGAAGCGUUUCCCGUUGCCCCCUCUACUAGCUGCCGUGUUUUUUUCGGUCUCCAGGCACCAAGACCAACUUUCCCUUGUGAAUACCCCAUUUCUUCUCCGCUCUCAGGCCUUUUGGAUUCCACGACCCACCGGUUCUCUGGAGGAUGCACGGGAAGACACAGAUACAGGUUGUAGCUGCCUCAUGUUUACGGUUUUCUUUUGUUUUUUUGCGUACUGUCACCUCUCCUAGGAGGACGUGUGGUUGAACAUGUGCAGGUUUUCUUCUUCGGAAGGGGGGUUGGAAUUCAGGAGAAUUUUAGUUGUCUGUUUGUCUACGGGCUGUACGUGGAUGCCGCACAUUCCGGAAAGAUGCAGCCGGUCAUAUCUUCUCGGUGGAGAAACGAAUGGACAUGUCGGACAGUAUCUAAUUGGUGAGAAUCUUGUGGGUGCGUAUUAAACGUUGUGAGGCGAACUCAAAAACGCCGUGCUAUUUGCUUGCAGUGGAACCAUACAUCAACCAGAUGUCUAUAGAACUUGGAUCCG
rnacentral:lncRNA from 1 species